GGUACUUCCACCCAUAUAGAAGGUGAACUAUGUGCUACAAUGAGAAGAACACAGGAGCCUAUCAAAAACACAAGCAAAGCAACGACCUUUGUGCCAUUGCAGGAAUCAACAUGAUUGCAGAGCAGUCUUGCUGCUGCAGGACUACACGAGGCUACAACAGGAGACUUUUAAUUUGGUUUAUCAGCAGGUCAUAUGAAUUUCAGCAAAGUGUUCCAGUCUACCUCAUCUUUUUUUUUUUUUUUUUUUUUUUCAUUUUUAGAAAAUAAAUCAGACUUCAUAACAUAGGCAAGAUGUUAUGAGAAACGCCCCUGAGUUCUGGUCUGAAAAUCACCAUGUCUCUGGAAAGGAGAAGGCUGGAGCACCCCUCCUACGAAGAGAGGCUGACGGAGCUGGGCUUGCUCAGCCUGGAGAAGAGAAGGCUCCAGAGAGACCUCACUGUGUUCAGCCAGUACUUAAAGGGAGAUUAUAAACAGGAGGGGAAUGAACUUUUAAAACAGGCCCCUCCAAAGCACAACAUUGAUGCCAAGACCACAAAUGGAAGCCACAAGGAGGAAAAUGAUAAGCAUCUUUGCAUUUCCUGGCACUCAGGCUGCCUCAGCAAGGAAUUCAUUCCCUGCCUGAACUGCUCAGCAAUAUGCACACCGUUUUACAUGGUAAAAUGGAAACAAACCCCGCAGCUUCUACGGUGCAGUGGCAGACACUCCCCAGGCACAGGCAGGUGGAUGGGUGCUGGCUGCACUUGAUACAGCACGCUGCAUUGUAAAGG
rnacentral:lncRNA from 1 species